CGCCCAUUAGCUAGCCCAACCCCUUCACCUAACAAACCCAUAUAAAUAACCCCUAAAGCACGUAACACCCACGUAGCCAAACCAUU
rnacentral:rRNA from 1 species